AGGACGAACGCUGGCGGCGUGCUUAACACAUGCAAGUCGAGCGGAAAGGCCCUUCGGGGUACUCGAGCGGCGAACGGGUGAGUAACACGUGAGCAACCUGCCCCUAGCUCUUGGAUAGCUCCGGGAAACCGGGAUUAAUACCAGAUACAACCACUUUAGACAUCUGUUGUGGUGGAAAGGAUUCUGGCUAGGGAUGGGCUCGCGGCCUAUCAGCUUGUUGGUGGGGUAACGGCCUACCAAGGCGACGACGGGUAGCCGGCCUGAGAGGGCGACCGGCCACACUGGGACUGAGACACGGCCCAGACUCCUACGGGAGGCAGCAGUGGGGAAUAUUGCGCAAUGGGCGAAAGCCUGACGCAGCGACGCCGCGUGGGGGAUGAAGGCCUUCGGGUUGUAAACCCCUUUCAGCAGGGACGAAGCGAAAGUGACGGUACCUGCAGAAGAAGCGCCGGCUAACUACGUGCCAGCAGCCGC
rnacentral:rRNA from 1 species